CAACUAUGGACAGUAUCGCACACAUUCGAACAAUUCCUUUGCUAGUUUUUAUUCCGCAAUCUUGAACAUUUCAAUUGUGGGAGAAAAUUCGGUUUAUGCGCAUGCCUAAAAAUAAUGAACACGCGGAUGUGUUUCUGCGCGUGCGUAUUAUAUGAGAAGUGUUCAUCCCACAAUCAUAAGGCAAUCUGGAGGGACUUCUACUAAACCUCCCUUGUUUUUUUAUAUACCCUGUAUUGAAAUAAUCUAUUGUUAUUAUUAGAAUUUGAAUGGCCUAGCACUUUGCUGAACGUAACGAUGCGUAACUCGGU